rnacentral:misc_RNA from 1 species
AGAAGCCAUUUUCGCAAUCUUAGGUAGCAAUUUGCAAGAAAGUGCCUUGGUUCGACUCUGUUGGUGACAAGAUAUAGCUUUUACACCAUUGGAUUUUUCUUUUUUGGACCCAGUCCACCAUAGAGAUAAAGUGCAUCUCACAGUCUAAGUUGGCAGGCAAGAAAUUUCCCUUUUAAUCAUCAUAAUAUGUAUUUAGUGCAUGGCUCGCUAUCAUAUUGCCGGGUUUACACUUUAAUCUUUU